UUCAAGCAGCCUGGAAGCUCUCCCAGCUCACGUAGUUCUGGAAUUUUUAUGGACGUCAUCAUUUAGUUUAUUGCCUAGGAAUCAUCCCAGUGUCCAGUACUUGGAGUUGCCGCCCUGGUCCUGACCACUGCAUCAGGCAGAAUUUCCGAGGAGG